UCUGCUAGAACCUUUGUAAUUGCUGCAGUUAGUGUCGUCUUCCCAUGAUCAACAUGUCCAAUUGUCCCCACAUUCACAUGAGGUUUAGUUCGAGUGAAGGUAGCCAUGGAUUUCCACCAUGGACCAGCAGAAACAGAGGUGGUGUCAUUUGUAGAGAGAGAACCAGAGAUUGAGAAGUUAGUGGAGACCGAUACCCGACAGCACCAGUAGAUUUGGGAAGAGAAUGGGAAAAUGCGUUUGGAGUUAGGGUGUCUGAGAGCCGCUGAAGCCAUUAAGAGAAAUGGAGAAUGUCCGGAAAGAGGAGGAGAGAGAGAGACACAGCG
rnacentral:misc_RNA from 1 species